rnacentral:rRNA from 1 species
CCUACGGGGGGCAGUAGUGGGGGAUAUUGCACAAUGGGGGAAACCCUGAUGCAGCGACGCCGCGUGUGGGAAGACGGUCCUCUGGAUUGUAAACCACUGUCCCCAGGGACGAAGAUGACGGUACCUGGGGAGGAAGCUCCGGCUAACUACGUGCCAGCAGCCGCGGUAAUACGUAGGUGGCAAGCGUUGUCCGGAUUUACUGGGUGUAAAGGGCGUGUAGCCGGGCUGACAAGUCAGAUGUGAAAUUCCGGGGCUCAACCCCGGACCUGCAUUUGAAACUGUUGGUCUUGAGUAUCGGAGAGGCAGGCGGAAUUCCUAGUGUAGCGGUGAAAUGCGUAGAUAUUAGGAGGAACACCAGUGGCGAAGGCGGCCUGCUGGACGACAACUGACGGUGAGGCGCGAAAGCGUGGGGAGCAAACAGGAUUAGAUACCCGUGUAGUC